rnacentral:lncRNA from 1 species
GGAAACAGGAUAUAUGCCGAGCAAUCGUAUCGUUCGGUUUAUUAUUGUUAUUACUCGUCGUUUAAAUUCAAUAUAUAUUUAUUGUCGCCUAUCUUGUGAACUAAUUUGAUUUUCGAGAAUUGUUGAUUCUUGAGCUAUUGCAAUCUUCGAUCGAUUCGAAAUCCUUUUUCCUGUAAGUUCUCAUCUUGAUUCGGGAAUUAUUCCAAUAAUUUCUUUUCUCGAUUCCUUGACUACUCAAUUGAGUUCAUUUAUCGACCUUGAAUAAUUCAACGAGUGUCAAUCUGAUUCUCUAUCAAUUUUAAGUCGUUUCACAUGUAUACUAGUUGGAACCAGCAAUCGUAUCGUUCGGUUUAUUAUUGUUAUUACUCGUCGUUUAAAUUCAAUAUAUAUUUAUUGUCGCCUAUCUUGUGAACUAAUUUGAUUUUCGAGAAUUGUUGAUUCUUGAGCUAUUGCAAUCUUCGAUCGAUUCGAAAUCCUUUUUCCUGUAAGUUCUCAUCUUGAUUCGGGAAUUAUUCCAAUAAUUUCUUUUCUCGAUUCCUUGACUACUCAAUUGAGUUCAUUUAUCGACCUUGAAUAAUUCAACGAGUGUCAAUCUGAUUCUCUAUCAAUUUUAAGUCGUUUCACAUGUAUACUAGUUGGAACCAGCAAUCGUAUCGUUCGGUUUAUUAUUGUUAUUACUCGUCGUUUAAAUUCAAUAUAUAUUUAUUGUCGCCUAUCUUGUGAACUAAUUUGAUUUUCGAGAAUUGUUGAUUCUUGAGCUAUUGCAAUCUUCGAUCGAUUCGAAAUCCUUUUUCCUGUAAGUUCUCAUCUUGAUUCGGGAAUUAUUCCAAUAAUUUCUUUUCUCGAUUCCUUGACUACUCAAUUGAGUUCAUUUAUCGACCUUGAAUAAUUCAACGAGUUUCAAUCUGAUUCUCUAUCAAUUUUAAGUCGUUUCACAUGUAUACUAGUUGGAACCACUUCUAUUAUGAUUCAUUAAAUCAUUUGAUUUGUUUCUACAGGGG